rnacentral:rRNA from 1 species
AGAAUCAACGCUGGCGGCGUGCCUCAGACAUGCAAGUCGUACGAUUAAAGCUCUCUUCGGAGAGUGUAUAGAGUGGCGCACGGGUGAGUAACACGUAAGUAAUCUACCUUCGAGUGGGGAAUAACAGUCGGAAACGACUGCUAAUACCGCAUAAUGCAGCGG